rnacentral:tRNA from 1 species
GGUUCCAUAGUGCAGUGGUUAGCACGUCUGCUUUACACGCAGAAGGUCCUGGGUUCGUGCCCCAGUGGAGCCA